CUUUAAUACAAAGUUGUCAUUUUAAUAGACUUUUAAUGCAACUUUUAGAGCAACUUUGCAUUAAAAGUGUCAUUAUUUACAGCAGUGGUUCCCAAAGAAUUUCUGGACCCUCUAUGGCAGGGGUCACCAACAUGGGGCCCGCGGGCCCCCGGUCGCCCGAGGGGACCUUGUCAGUUGCAAGUUCUUAAAAUAGCCAUUGUCAUUAGGGAGCCCUGCCAAAUAAAUUAUUUAAUUUAAUGUAUUUACAUUGAAUUAAUAACAUUUGUUUAUAUUUUGAUUUUUUUAAAAAGUAAAUUACAAAAAAUGUUUAAAAUAAAUUGCUUUAUGCAUAAAACUCUUCUCUAUGGUUAAAGUUCAGAACUGCGCAGACGCCUGCAGGAUUUUAUCGGAGGGCAGCAGCGCCUGCAGCUGAUUGGCUGCAGCAGCUCUGCCUACCUUAAGAUUUUCCUUGAAGUAAAAAAAGAAAAGAAUAAUUUCUGAAAUUUUUAUUAUCGAACCGUCUUUACAAUUAACAAAAUUGUGGAGAUAAAAAGGAUCUUAUGUGUCAAAACAUCUUGUACGUAGCACAGGUCUGAGUCUGUGGGGGUCAAAGGGCACGCAAAGCUUAAAUCUUAUUGGUCAGUUUACUUUUGUUUAUCUGGUGGCUUGGUGCUUUUUCUGAUAAAAAUGAAUGACAGGAGUUUGAACCUCCCGUAGUUCUACGAGCGGUUUGGAUGUCGCUGGAGCUUUUUACCGUGUCGGUUCUGGCGGGUCGCCGGUUUCUGAGCUUCUUUGAUGUUUACCGAACUGGAGAGCUGAUGAGCCACCCGUUAGCUGACAUCUGCCGCUCUUCCUGAGCGUCGCGCUAAGACUGUGGCUUAAACAAUUUAAUCUAGUCGAAACGUUUCCCACAAGAGUAAAAAUUAAGCAAACAUUGUUGCUUCACCUUCUCCUCCUUUGGACGUCUGACAUCACCUGAACCUGGGAAUCAACAUCCUCCUCUUUCCGUGGAUCUCACAGCUUCGCUUCCAUGUCUUUAUGAUUUAGCAUCGUCUG